UAGAGCAGCGAAACCGCGAGGUGGAGCGAAUCUNUAAAANACGGUCUCAGUUCGGAUUGCAGGCUGCAACUCGCCUGCAUGAAGUCGGAAUUGCUAGUAAUCGCGGAUCAGAAUGCCGCGGUGAAUACGUUCCCGGGUCUUGUACACACCGCCCGUCACACCAUGGGAGUCGGAAAUGCCCGAAGUCGGUGACCGAACCGAAAGGAAGGAGCCGCCGAAGGCAGGUCUGGUGACUGGGGUGAAGUCGUAACAAGGUAAC
rnacentral:rRNA from 1 species